GGGGUGCAGCAGGCGCGAAAACUUUACAAUGCUGGCAACAGCGAUAAGGGGACCUCGAGUGCCAGGAUACGAUCUUGGCUGUCGCGAUGCCUAAAAAGCAUUGCAUAGCAAGGGCCGGGCAAGACCGGUGCCAGCCGCCGCGGUAACACCGGCGGCUCGAGUGGUAACCGCUAUUAUUGGGUCUAAAGGGUCUGUAGCCGGCCGGAUAAGUCUUUUGGGAAAUCCAGCUGCUCAACAGUUGGGCUUUCAGAAGAUACUGUUCGGCUCGAGACCGGGAGAGGUGAGAGGUACUUCAGGGGUAGGGGUGAAAUCUUGUAAUCCUUGAAGGACCACCAGUGGCGAAGGCGUCUCACCAGAACGGAUCUGACGGCAAGGGACGAAAGCUAGGGGCACGAACCGGAUUAGAUACCCGGGUAGUCCUAGCCGUAAACGAUACUCGCUAGGUGUCAGCCACGGUGCGACCGUGGUUGGUGCCGUAGGGAAGCCGUGAAGCGAGCCACCUGGGAAGUACGGCCGCAAGGCUGAAACUUAAAGGAAU
rnacentral:rRNA from 1 species